rnacentral:rRNA from 1 species
AGCGAACGCUGGCGGCAGGCUUAACACAUGCAAGUCGAGCGGGCAUCCUUGUGGUGUCAGCGGCAGACGGGUGAGUAACGCGUGGGAACGUGCCCUUCGGUUCGGAAUAACUCAGGGAAACUUGAGCUAAUACCGGAUACGUGCGAGAGCAGAAAGGUUUAUCUGCCGAAGGAUCGGCCCGCGUCUGAUUAGCUAGUUGGUGAGGUUACGGCUCACCAAGGCUACGAUCAGUAGCUGGUCUGAGAGGAUGAUCAGCCACACUGGGACUGAGACACGGCCCAGAAUCCUACGGGAGGCAGCAGUGGGGAAUAUUGGAAAAUGGGGGCAACCCUGAUCCAGCCAUGCCGGGUGAGUGAUGACGGCCUUAGGGUUGUAAAGCUCUUUUCUCCGGGACGAUAAUGACGGUACCGGAGGAAUAAGCCCCGGCUAACUUCGUG